ACGUCCAUUCUUCAUUGAAAAGCCCAGUGAUGUUAGGUGUGGUCAUUAUAAUCUCCUCCCCUGGACAGGCUGUAUGAGUAGUCUAUCAGGUACUCCGACUAACAGUAAACUGAUAUACCUCCCAACGGUCAUUGUAAUGGUCUCAAGGAUGCCUUACUUUAGACUCUUGAAGGAAGCAC